GACGAACGCUGGCGGCGUGCUUAACUCAUGCAAGUCGAACGAUGAAGUUCCUUCGGGAAUGGAUUAGUGGCGAACGGGUGAGAAACACGUGAGAAACCUGCCUUUCAUUUUGGGAUAACUCCGGGAAACCGGAGCUAACACCGAAUACUCCGUCUCGGCGGCAUCGCUGAGCCGGGAAAAAAUUUUGAUGAAAGAUGGUCUCGCGGCCUAUCAGCUAGUUGGUGAGGUAAUGGCUCACCAAGGCGACGACGGGUAGCCGGCCUGAGAGGGCGACCGGCCACACUGGGACUGAGACACGGCCCAGACUCCUACGGGAGGCAGCAGUGGGGAAUAUUGGGCAAUGGGCGCAAGCCUGACCCAGCGACGCCGCGUGAGGGAUGAAGGCCUUCGGGUUGUAAACCUCUUUCAGUAGGGAAGAAGCGAAAGUGACGGUACCUAAAGAGGAAGCACCGGCUAACUAUGUGCCAGCCGCCGCAGUAA
rnacentral:rRNA from 1 species